rnacentral:misc_RNA from 1 species
UAUCAAAUCUUAAAGAGGCAUUUUAUAAAAUAACCCAUUUUCAUCCACCAUAGCAAAUGAUCACUGAUUAUCUUCGAGAGUGUGAUGUAUCUCACAUCCCCGUUAUGUAGUUUAAACACCAAUCCAAGUCAACAUAUCUACUCCAAUCCUAAGAGAAAAUUACACGAACAGUCCACAAAUUUCCCUCUAAUUUCAAUUUUAUUCUAUCUCUUCCUCUCUGUCAAACCCUCCAAAGUUCCUGCAGAUCUCCUGCACUGUGAAAUCCAAAAACCAAAACUGGCUCAAGGUGCGUCUAUAAUUCCUAUAUGUGAAUAAUUGCACAUCCUUCCUCUUCCAUUCCUUAAUCUCAAUCCAGAACCAGUCAUUUUCUGAAGGUACCUUUGGGAGAGGCCAGUACUUCUUUGUUGGGCUUAAAAGUACUACAAAGGUCUCUGAGCAAUACAAUAACACACAAUUUGAAUCUUGGUCAUCCAUCAGUCUUCUGCGAAAUUUUUGGAUGAAGUGCACCGAUUCUAUUCCAUUGCAUAGCUGACAAAAGCCCAGAUGAAAAUUGCAGGACAUUAUUGAAAUUGGAGGUAAACUUGGAACCAUUAGUUUAAUUCAUCUCAUGUUGCCCUCUCUCAAGACAUCAAUCAUAUUAUAGAUCCGCUUGUCUGCCCUUGACUGAAUCUUCUUAGCAAGGAAAAUUAUAGCAUCAACAGUACCCUCUGCAUAAAUGGAUCUACCACAAACAUUGUGUUGAAACUCAAAAGAAACUGUUUGAUCAGGUGAUGUCAGAUGAUACAUAUGGAAUGCAUGGCCAGACAAAUACUCCUCUGGUACACCUACCACCUCAAUUUGUUGCUUGGGAUCCCGGAUCAUUUGUAUCUUAUCCGUGUCAAAAGACACACCCAAUUUCUGGAAGCAAGAAAUAACAGCCUUAGCAGUUCCGGAUGUGUCCAACUUCCCAGCUUGAUGGGACUCCAACACCUGAAGAGAAUACCCAGAAAAAGCUCCAGGAAAUUGCUCAGCCAUAAUCUCCAUGGCUGCAAGAAAAGCAACCACCUGCUUCCCCAUCUGUGGGGAGAUCACAGCAUAAAUUUUUGAAUCCUCUACAGUCUUAUAUAACAGAUCCCUAUCUCCACCAGUAGUUCCCAUAACAAAGGGCACCCCAACUUUGCAAUACAGUUCCGCAUUAUCAUUUACUGCUGCAGGAACAGUGUAAUCCACCACAAUUAGGUUUGGAUGCUCAUCAUAGAUGGAUGCAAGAACAUCUUCUCUUUCAGGAGGACCAUGUAUCUUAAUAUCAUUUCCGCAUACUUGCACGAUAUUUCCAGACUCGUCUGGUGAGCCAAAUGAUACAGGAAGAAUCUGGAGUCCAGCAGAGUCUGCUGCCUUAAUAACAGCCUUCCCCAUUUUACCACUACAACCAUUUACCAUGAUUGGAAUGUCAAUAUUUUUGGUUGACAUGGACACUACCGCCAUGGAAGAUCUCCGUCUAUGUGUAAGAGUACUAGUUCUCUGGCUCCUAUGAUGAGAUAAGGUAAAGGUCCAAGGUUUAAUAGAAACACAAGAUGCUGCCAUUGUCCUUCAAGUAUUUCCCUUUUCUUCUUCAAUGUCAAGGAGAAUACCUAAAUUUCAUGAAAAAAGAGGCAUUGCCAACUGGGUCUUUUUCAGUUUGUUUAGGGUUUAAUCGAAAUCAUGAAAAUGAUGCCAUUGCUAGAUUCUGAAAUUGAAAUGAGAGUGUAAAAGAACAAAUGCUACGAUACCUAAUGGCUGUUGUUGGCGGAGAAACAGUGCCUUCGAUUAGGGUUUAGGGAACUGCGAAGAAACAGAUGAGUGAUUAUGCUGUAGGCCUCCAAGUUGGAGACUCAUUUGCUUCAGAAGAUUUUGUUCGAGUACAGUGGAG